rnacentral:rRNA from 1 species
GGGUCAGUAGGUCGGUCGUGCCACCGGUACGUACUGGUCUCACUGAUUCCUCCUUCCUGAAGAACCGUAAUGCCACUAAUUUGGUGUUGCGGGGAAACAGGACUGUUACUUUGAAAAAAUUAGAGUGUUUAAAGCAAGCUAACGCUUGAAUACAUUAGCAUGGACUAAUGAAAUAGGACGAUCGAUCCUAUUUUGUUGGUUUCUAGGAUUGACGUA